UUGUGUUGAUCGGGCCAAGUUUUGGUACGACACUUAAUAAGCAAUCUAUUAUGGGCCCACUUCUAUUCUCCGAGUCUUCGUCUUCUCGAUUUCCCUUGCUCCCAUGGGUGUUCCUCUGUCAAACGUUACUUCUUUUAAUUGAUUCACGCCUUAAAGCGAGUACUUUAACUUCUUCCGGCCUCUAAACCCACUACGCCGGCUUCAAUGAUCCGUCUUCAACAUCGAUUUCAUUACCCCUAAUUCUUCAUACUAUAAAUAAGUCAUGAAGCCCUCUCCAUAUUGCAGUGCUUCAUCUUAUUUUUUUGAUGGUUUCCUUACAAACUUUGAUUGCAUGAAAUUAUAAGAAAUUUAUAUCCAGAAAGAAAUCGUGAGAAAAUAAUAUUUGCUUGUCGUUUUGUGUGCUUGACUGUGUUUAUAGAUAUGAAUGUGCUUAUAAGUGCGAUGCUAUGAUCUUCAGGUACCAUGGCUCCACUCUGAUAUCAGCAAGUUUUUCAGGCCUUCCAGCACUGCACUUUUGAUUUACCUGCACCGUGAAACGGAAGUGGAGUUCUCAACCAGAUUAGUCAAGAAUGCAAAGGAUCUUAUCAUUAAAGAGGGACCAGAAACAGUAAUCAUUCGAUUGAUUACUUAUGGAAAUUGCCAUCUUUAUGUGUUAGGAUGAUGUUGGCAUCUCAAUAUAACACAAAUAUCUUCUUUCUAGAUUGGUGCUUUUAUAGUUGAACCAGUCAUGGUUGCUGUUCGUGUGUUACCUCCACCUGCUACGUAAUUUGAAAAGGUCUAAGCGGUUGUUUGCAGUAUGAUAUCCUGCUCAUUGCUGUUGAAGUAUGUGCUUAUCUAACUGAACCAUGUUCAUUACCAUGACCCCAAAAUCGAUGGAGAACAAAAAUACAUGACUAACCAUUUGUAUUUUGUUUGGCCUUUAAG